UACGAAGGGGGCUAGCGUUGCUCGGAAUUACUGGGCGUAAAGGGCGCGUAGGCGGAUAUUUAAGUCAGGGGUGAAAUCCUGGAGCUCAACUCCAGAACUGCCUUUGAUACUGAGGAUCUUGAGUUCGGGAGAGGUGAGUGGAACUGCGAGUGUAGAGGUGAAAUUCGUAGAUAUUCGCAAGAACACCAGUGGCGAAGGCGGCUCACUGGCCCGAUACUGACGCUGAGGCACGAAAGCGUGGGGAGCAAACAGG
rnacentral:rRNA from 1 species